UUAAUGUUUCUCAUUUCAACAUGUUAGUGGUGCUGUGUCUUUGAAAUCAAUGGGUAUUUAGCUAUUUUUAUGGAAACUCCAAACUAAAGAAUGAAGAUGUGGAUGUCACAACAACAUAGGUUUGAUCUAUAUUCACACAUAUUCAGAAAUUUAGGAAUACCAUAGUUGUUAACAACAAACACCAUGACCAUAAGCCAGGUGCAGUCUACUAUAUUCACACAUAUUCAGAAAUUUAGGAAUACCAUAGUUGUUAACAACAAACACCAUGACCAUAAGCCAGGUGCAGUCUGUGGUUCCUGCUUUGAGCCUUCUUGGUUUCAAGAAAGGCGCGAUUGUGCAUGACCACCGCAACCUCCUGAAAUAGUUAGUUUAAGCAACAACAAAUUGACAUAAUUAAUUUCCCAACACAGGGAAAAUCUACCAUUCACACCCAAUGAGUAGCAACUGUAAAAAUAAUAUGAAUCAUACAGGCACUAAUGACAGAGUCAUUGACAAAAUUAAACUUCUCAGUCAAAUGUAUGCCCUCAAGCUUCCCAUUAA
rnacentral:lncRNA from 1 species